CGGAGGGUGCAAGCGUUAUCCGGAUUCACUGGGUUUAAAGGGAGCGUAGGUGGCUUUGUAAGUCAGUGGUGAAAUGUCGCGGCUCAACCGCGAAACUGCCAUUGAUACUGCUUAGCUUGAAUCACGUCGAGGUGGAUGGAAUAUUACAUGUAGCGGUGAAAUGCUUAGAUAUGUAAUAGAACACCGAUUGCGAAGGCAGUUCACUAGGCGUGUAUUGACACUGAGGCUCGAAAGCGUGGGGAUCAAACAGGAUUAGAUACCCUGGUAGUCCACGCCCUAAACGAUGUAAACUCGACAUUAGCGAUAUACUGUUAGUGUCCAAGCGAAAGCGUUAAGUUUACCACCUGGGAAGUACGACCGCAAGGUUG
rnacentral:rRNA from 1 species